UCACUCUCUUCCUUCAUCAUCAUCAUCAUCAUCAUCUUCUACCACUACAGCCACAAUAAACAUGCAUACCGUAUUUUUUCUUUUCAAAUAUUAUACGUAUACUUUUUGAUAUUUUAUUUCCGUUUGAGUUGAGUAGUUGUUCUCCAUUUGCAACGGUUACCUAAUAUUAUUCUCUGUUUCCAUCUACCCCAUUAUCAACUACGUAUUGCAUAUAAAACAUUAGCGAUAAUGAAAGAAAGGGUCAUGUAUCUGCUUUCUCAAUCAUUAAUGCAAAAUUACCGAAUUUAAUGAUGUUACCAUUACGAAUGGAGAAAGGGUCAAACCAAAAAUAAAAAGUGCACCUUUUCAACUGGCGGACAAAGGACGAGACACGAGUGGCAUCAACGCGGGUAAAGCACCCCGCGUUUUACUACCAGACGGAACCCAUCAACGGGCUAUAAAGGACACACGUGUGAGUUCUAGAUCAACGGUCAAAACACAAGGGCACUCUAGUAAUAUCGUUAAACGACUUUAUGAGUUGUUGAAAAGUUAUGGUCUUUCCGAGGAAAGAAAAAGUAAAAAAUAAUAAUAAAAAUGGAUUUUUUUUCAUUAUUUUCAUAGUACACAUUUUGUUUUCAUUAAUGGAAUUUUAAAUUGUAUUAUUUUUUGUUGUUAGAACAAACAGAGGGCUAGAGUGAAAAUAAAUUUAACGGGGAGAGGAGAGAGAGUGGGAAGCAUAUGAGAAUAGGAAGAUGGGUGGAAAAAACGCCGUACAGAGGGGUGGCGGAUGACAGCGACUGCUCACUGACCCACAUAACUGACACGUGUCCUGACGCAAAAGGGUGUGGAGGUAAUAUUGAGCAAGCAUAAUGGAGAAAAAGGCAAAGAAGGAACACACAUUAACAAAAAUCAAUUGGGCAGAAGAUCCACAUAUGCCAGCUAAUAUUUUGCACAUUUACAGAAAGAGAGGAAAAAUUGUAGUAGAGGCGGAAGAAAGUUGAAAUGAAGAUAAAAUAAAAAAAAAGAAUAAAGAAUAAAAAAGUGGGAAUGGAGAGUUAAGUGUUGACCCAUUAUUAUUACUCACAUCACACCGGCCUGACCUAGUCCAGGGUAUUAGGGAAGAUGAGGAAUGGGGACAGGCAGCAUAGAAGGAGUAGAUGCACAUCACAACAUAUAAAAAUAUUAAUAUAUAUAGUAAGGUUGGGAAAAUAAUGAGAUAAAAAAAAUUGUGUGUGAGCAUAUAGAAGGAAAUUAAAUUAGGACAUUGGAGUUGGAGGAAUCUUUGAGCAUUAUUGAUGCAUUAAUCGCCACUCCUUCAACGGUUCAUAUCUUACCUCUUUUUAUAUAUUCUGUUCCCUUAUCAUCUUCCACUGCUCAACUCUCUCUCUCUCUCUCUCUAACACAAGCUUCCGUUUUUCUGUUUCUCUUCUCUCUACUCAGAACAUGGGUUCUUCUGCAGUACAAUUGUUUCUCAUCUUGGGGCUUCUGGCUACUUCUUGCAUAGCACAAGCCCCAGGUGGCGCACCCACGCAGCCUCCCACAACCACCCCACCACCACCGCCCGCAGCAGCACCAGUACCUGCACCCACUGCACCCGCAACUCCACCACCAUCUUCACCACCACCUGCACCCACACCCGCACCCACACCAACUGCUCCCACUCCUGCUCCAGCUUCUUCUCCUUCAUCUGCUGCAUCUCCCUCAGCUGAGUCACCAGGCUCUCCUACAUCUCCCCCAGCACCACCGGCCCCCUCAUCUGCACCUUCACCCUCAGUCAGCGAACCACCACCCUCACCCUCCUCCGCAUUCUCCGUUGGCAAGGCCUUCGUUGCCGGGUCUGCGCUCGCGGGAACCUUCGUAGCCAUGGUCUUGGCUUGAAGACAGACCUGACGGUUGGGAUUCGUCCACGUGGAGGCUCUUGGGCCCUUGAUCUUGUUUUACAGCGACGGACGGACGGACGGGAUCUGUUUCAUUUAUUUUAUCCUCUGGUCUUGUUGAGUAGCGGUUUUCUUUUUCUCUCUUUGGGGUUUUAUGUGUUAGUUUUGUUCGUUCGUGGUUGAUGUGUUUGUUGAUUCGAUAUCUGGGAGGGUUGGGUGUUGAUGAUGAUGAUGAUGAUGAUGAUGAUGGUGAUGGUAUUCAUGAUUAUGAUGAUUAUUUUGUGAUUCAUUGUUCUGGUGUUCACACGUGUACGUAGAUGACCUUGAUGAUUUCAUUGUACAUCUAAUAAUUGAAAGAAUAAAACAGUUUGUCAUUCUUUUUACUUACAAUCUUGUUCCUUGUUAAUGUGCAAAACCCUCGUUUUUCAGAGCCACCACCUCUAACUUCUUCUCAUUCUGGAAUAUAUGCAUAAUUAUUCCGACUUCUACACAUUAUACUCCACUUUCCUCCUUUUUCAAAUUACUGCUUUAAUUCGACCAUAGAUAUACUGCCACGUCUUUUAAAUUCAAAGCAUCUUUUUCUGCUUUUCAUUCAGACCACACAUCCAAGACCAACCAAAUUUUGUCCUCUCAUUUACAAUUUUUUAUUCCUUUGCAUUAUGUCAUUACUCCAUAACUUGAUAUUAUUAUUAUUAUUAUUAUUAUUACACUCUUAUUUCUUAAUGAAGUUUCACACUCAAAUCUCACUAAUGCAAUCUACAUUUACCAUUUUACAUUAUCGAUUCAAGAAAAAUAUUUUAGAUUCAAGCGUUUAAAUAUUAACAAAUAAUCUUUUGGAAAAACAAGAUUUGCUUAUAUUCUUCACAGGGAAUUAACUUUUUUUAUGGAAAUCAUUCCACUUUUGCUAAUUCGACAUUUUAUGAGAUGCUGCGAUAAAUCAUAAAACCUUUACCUACUUUUAUGUUAAAAAAAGCUUUUUUUUUCCUUAAAAUUAGAAUGGCGUCAUCUUUUCCAUGUGAGCGUGUUGAUGAUGAAAGAAGGUUCUAGGUUGUUUUGUAAAGAACGUGGGUUUCCUCGUCUUUUCCUUUCAGUGUUGUGGAGAUUUGUUUAAUGCCCUGUCAAUUCCGCAGGAAAUUGACAUGUUAUGCGACCUUUUUCCUAAAUAUAAUAGUAGUAUAAUAUUUUUUUAUGUGAAAGUUCCUAAAUAUAAUAAUAUUAUUAUAUUUAUUAUGUGAAAGUGAGAAGCACGUAGUAGGAGAUAGAUGCCUCCAACAAGAAUUUGUAUUAUUGCAAGCAAGGUGGAUCUGGUUAGCAAUUGGUUAAACUGCUAACCCCUCACUCACUUCAUUACAGGAUUAGAUCCACGUCUUUGUCACAGGUAAAUAUCAAGGAGAACCUUUUUUUUAAAUUAAAAAUUAUUUUGGAAAAUAUUAUUAAAAAAAGUAAGAUGUUUUCAUGUUCUCUGUUUUCUUUUUCUAUUUUUAACUAUUUUACUAAAAUAAUGAAAAUACAACUUUUAAAAAAGGCUAAUAAAACAAACACUUCCCACUGUACUUAGAAAACAAGGAAAAAUUUAAAAUAAAAGGAAUACUUUUGAAAACAAUGGAUAACAAAGUUUAAGAAAAGUUAGGUUAUUUGAGUUAAGAGAAAAAAAAAUCCUAGAAAAAGUUUGUAAAAAAAGAAUUUUAUAGGAUCUUAAUAUAUAUUAUUGGUUUGUGUUAGUAAAUAUGCAUGAUCUUUAUUUAUUUUUUACUUGUUAUUAUUAUUUUGAUUAUAUUUAAUUCUAAAGUUUACUUACACUUAAAUUUAUUAUAAUUUAGUUUAAUUAAAAUAUUUGAAAAUUAAUGAUGGUUUGUCCGCUCUAUUUUGACUCAUUUCAAACUUAGUUAGUAAAAAGUAGGUUGAAUUAGUCCGUCUUACAUAAAAAUUGUAGAUUAGUUUUGGUAGGUCAUUCGCGAUCCAAUCUACAUAAACAAAAUCUUCACAAAAUACCUAUAUGUGAAUGUCUCGAGAAUAAUUUUAUUUUAAUGUUUCAUAUUUUUCUUGCAUUCUAUUCUAUGAAUCUAUCAUUGACAAUAAAAUUUAAUCAAGCUAAAUAAACAUAAAAUUAACAUCUAAUUCAAAUAAAUAUGUCAAUGUUUAAUAUUUCAUGAACAAUAUAACAUAAAAGUAAAUAUUAUUUUCUAAGCUGAAAAACUAUAGUAUUUAAUUAUCAUUGUGUCUUGACUUCAAAAACAUUAUUGUUGUUCUCAAUCCACCUUGUCCUAUUAUUGACAGGUGUGGACUACAAAUUUUGUAGGACAAACGAUCUAAGUAAAUGACAAAAUAAUACUCAAUUCUCUUCACAUUUUUCUUGUGGGCUAGUGGACCAACUUGCAUUGUGAUCUCGUUAAAACAUAUCAUGUUCAUCUUGGAUAUAUAAAUCUUAAACCCUAAACUCUAAACCUCCAUACCUUCCUCUUGCACCUCCAUAUUUUUUUUAAUUCCUACAAUAUUUUUCUGAUUAAGGUUAUGAGGAUUCACAAUUUACUUCAAGUUGCAAUAAGAGUUCACUCCAUAGAACCAUUGCAAGUGCAACAAUAAUUAUUUUUCUUGAUAGAACUUAUGCGAUGUUGCUUGAGGAAAAACUUUAACUACAAAAGACCUAAACCCUCAAGUAAGUGUUGAUUUAUUUUAUGAAGUAAUUAAAAUAUGUCAAAUGAUGGACUCUUCCCUCAAACGUUGCGAUGGAAUAAGAAUGGAAAUUUUGCUGGUGGAAGAGAGAGAUAUGAGGUUUUUAAAAAUGUGGGAUUAUAUUUCAUUUAGAAUUAUUUAAAAUUUUAAAAAAUAUUUAAAUUGACUCUUUUUACAGUUAAUAUGGAGAUGUAGUUAGAAGAUUGGGAGAUAAAGGGAAAAUUUGACUUUUUUAAAGUUUACUUGUACUUAAGUAUAUUUAUAUUUUUGUAAUUUUACAUAAUUCUUUUAUCUUUGAAAUAAAAAAUAAAAAAGGGACUUUUUUUAAAUAAUCCGCCAUUAAUUAUCAUUUUAUGAUUAUUUUGGUACCGGUCGGCAUCAGACGAGUCUGUCUUGGACACAACAACCGGCCCACUAAGUCACAGAACACUCCAAAAUCGCGCAUUGAAUAAGAAUCACCAAUUACAAGAGCAUUUAGUGCGCUGUAACCAUAUUCGGAAUAUGCGGGAACAUCUUUGCGAAAUCAAUCAAAUACUAAUUAACUGAAGGAGGUUAUAAACAUUCCUUAAACAACAUACCUCCCUAUUAAUCAGAGAUCACGAUGUGUCAAUUGAUAACUGAUAUUUAUCCCUCAUGCAAGAAAGUCCAUAACUAGCACUAUAAAUUGAACCCUUUGUUGAGGUGUAAGGUAUGUUUUACAUUCUGCUAGUAUACACCUAAAAUCUUAGCAUUGACUUGAGCGUCAGAGUGUAAUCGCAUAUACCCCUCCGACCGUCUGAGUCCAACAACAAAGGAAGGAAGCUCAAAGUUACACAGAGGAUCGUCAAGAGGCACCAACAUGUCACCAAAUUGUGUUACCUGGGUCCAUUUUCCCCCACAUAGGUACAAUUUUAGUUUAUGAUAAAAGUUAAAAGUAAAUUAUUUUUUAAAUUAAGAAACUAAAAUAUAUUUAAAUCGGAGAGACCGAAUUUUUUUAACGUAAUUUUAUAAAACAAAAGUAUAAGCUUUUAAUGAUUAUUUUACAUUUCAAUUCUUCAAGUUUACUUUUAACAUUUCAGUCUUCCAUUAUCAUCGUGUAUGUGCUCGGUUCUCCUUUAUGCUUCUUUUGGUCGAACAAAAUGAAAUAUAAAAAAAAAAGAAAAAGUGAGAGAAACAUGUAAAUAAUGAGUGAAAAAAUAUUAUUUGAUUGAAGACAAAUUAGUCAAAAAAAAUUAUUUAUUUAUUAAUAUUAUUUUUAUACUUUAAUUAUUAAUUAUUAUUAUUAUUAUAAUUUUUUUUUGUCUAUUUUCUUCAUAUAUUUAUCAUUCAAUCCGUGACAAUCCUCUCCAUUUCAUCACAAAUUUAAAUUAGUUAACAAAGUUCACUCAUCAUCACUUUCUUGGUUUAAAAAUUAUUGAUGGGUAAUCAACUUACAUAGUACAUAAAAUUCAUCAGGAAUGUAAUAAAAUGUUAUAUUAUUAGCGAGUAGGGAUGUGAAAGUGAAACAAACUAUAAGUUGAUUUAAAAUUGGAUAAUCUCACCCUAAUUCACACCGUGACAAGUUUGAAAGUUUCUAACCCAAAUACACUAAAUGUUGGUCAAUUAAAUGGGGCUAUCUAACUAAAAAAUAUUGAAAAAUUUAAAUUGCUAAAAAAAUACAGGAGAUGUGAUGUAAAAGGAACAAGCUCCAGGACCACCUAUCCACGGUGUGAGGGAGAAUGACCCUUGUGUACUGUAGUAACAAUUUUAAAAUUAUAUUAAAUUUAUAUUGAAAGUAUAAAUAUCAAUUUAUAGAAAAAUGCUAAUAUUAUUUAUAUUAUUUAUAAUUAUUAAUUUUUUAUAGAGGUGUAUAAUUUUUAUUUUGUUUUUGUCUAUUCUGAUUCUAGUAUUUAUUGUUUACUAUUUGUUUUUCAUUAUCUCUUUAGUUAGACCUAGAAUGAGUGUACUUCUUGUAUAUAUGCAGAUUAUUUGUUUUGAUUUCAAUAGAAGGGAUAUUCAUUCUCAAAAUUUUUGUCUUUCUUUUUUAUCUUUUGUUAAUCUCUGUUCUAUUUUAUAAUAUGAUAUUAAGUUGUUUAAAGUCUAUCAUAACGAGUGUUUGGUGGACUUAUCAGGUUACCCGUUAUCGGACUACUCAUAAAUAUAUUGCCACUCUCAGUAUAAGAGAGUGUGUUGAAAAUCCCACAUGAGAGAAUAGAUCAUUUGAUAGUAUAUAAGUAAGUGCAAACCUCACCUUAUAUAAGAUUGAGUUAAACUUAAAAUUUAUUAAUUUAAAAAUAAAAAGGAUAAAUAUUUAAUAUCUAAUUUAAUGCUCGUGAUUAUGCUUUUCCACGGAAAGGAUGAUUUGUAUUAGAGGUGCAGUAGUAUAUUAUUAUUAUCAUUAUUAUAUUUUAUUUUUUAUUGUAUUUGUUCUUACUUUGAGUACGUUUCUAAUAUAAAAAAAUAACUAAUGAUGAACAAAUUCAAACAACUCAGAAUUUUUCUUGUUUUUUUAGCGAAUGGGAUUGGAAAUAAUAAUAUUAAAAGUCGCUUUUAUAAUCUUUUAAAAAGGAGCAACUAGAAAUAAAUUUUUUGCAUGCAUCCAGGAUUACAUUAUUCUGUAUAAAGAUAAGAAUUUUCCCUAAAAGUUAACUUUACUUUUCCUUUAUUUUCUUUUCCAAAAGCUGAUGGUUCCUCCAUCUUUCAUAGGGAUUGGUCACAUAAAAUAAAAAUGUCUUUUAAAAAAUAAAAAUAUGUCUUUUAAUAAAUAAAAAUAUUCAAAAAGCAUGCAGUCCCGUAAUCGGAACAAAAACAAAAUUAUUCUCUUGAUUCUUCUCUUUUAUCCAACUUUGUCAUUUUAUUCUUUAAAAAAUCAAUUUACUUAUUUAAAGUGUGUGUAUGGGCACACACAAGUGUAGGAACUUAGCAUUUGUGUGUUGUUUGAUAUUGAAGAAAUGCCCACAAAUAAAGAGAAGUGAUAAGAAGAUUAGUUCUUAAUUUCAUCUUACAAAACUUUUUUUUUUCCAAAAAUAUACUUAUUUAGAAAAAAUGACCCAAACAAAUCUAUUUUACUUUAAUUUCCAAACUAGACUCAUGUAUUCUUGACAUGAGUCAAAUUUUGAAGAGUGAAUAGUACACCACUUUUUCUUUUCCUAUUUUUUCUCAAUUUUCAUUUUUUUUUGUUUGAAAAAACCGGUUUAGAAUUUGGCUUAUUGAGAAUCGGUUUUCAGCAGCACGGGAGUGGAUACAUUGAAAAUUUGGUUGCACUAGAAAAUUGGCUCAAAUUUUAUUUCGGGGAUUUGAAUUGUGUCCUAUUUUUAAUUUAUUUUUGAAAAUUGAGAAACAAGGAGUGAAAGUAUUUCACAUUGAAAUUCCGGUUAUUGGGAAGUCGAAUUCUAAAUGUGAAUAGUAAAUAAAAUAAGUCCAAUUUGAAAAUUAAAGUUGAAAUAUGUUUAUUUGGGUAACUUUUCAAAAUGGGUUUAUUUUGGGAGGAAAGAAUCCCAAAACUAUAUAUGUGUGAACCAAAUAUAUUUAAUUUUAUUGUAAAAUAAUUAUGUAAUUUUUUGCAUAAAUAGUUGGUUUAAUAUAAUAAGUAUUUACAUGUUUUAUUUUUAGUACAGUAAAAGAAAAAUUAUAAUUUUAUUAUAACAACUUUAAUUCUCUUAGAUUUAUUUAAAAUUCGAUAAUAAUUAAUAAUAUAAUUAAGUAAGUUUGGUCUUUAGUAAUUCUCAACCUAUGUUUGUUAAAAGAAAAAUUAAUGUUAAUAGGCAAUUAGGUUUUUUCUUUUGUUUUAUAAAUUUCAAACAAAAUAAAACUAAGAGACUUAAAGUUGUUGUACUUAAAACAUAGUUUUUUUUUUCUUAUUAUAAUAAAAAUAAAAUAUGUUAAUAAUUUUUAGAUUGAAUAAAUUAUUUAUCUUAGUUUUUUUUUUCUAUUUCUUCUUUUCAAUUACAAAAUAUUUUUUUAUUAUUUUCUAUUCCGUAGGUAACAGUCAAAAUUUGUAGAUAAAUCCAUAGAUAAUUUAACAUAUUUUACUUUUAAAUUUUCAAUUAUUAUUUGAAUCUAUUUUUUUUUCAAUUAUUAUUUAUGCUCAUCUUUAGGAUUAUUAUUGACAUUGACAAUUAUUAUAUAUGUUAUUAGUGGGUGGGACUCGAACCAAAGUCCAUUGGAUGACCAAAGAAACUUUAAUCAUUACACUAAAUAAAUUUUGUUAUCAUGUUAUGGUUAUUAUUAUAUUUAUUAGUAUGAUUAUCAAUAUUAAUAUAAUUAUUAAUAUAAAUAUUAUUAAUAUUAUUCAUAUAUUUAAUAUCAUAAAUAAUAAUUGAUAAUUGGAUGACCAGAGAAACUUUAACCAUUACACCAAAUAAAUUUUGUUAUCAUGUUAUGGUUAUUAUUAUAUUUAUUAGUAUGAUUAUCACUAUUAAUAUAAUUAUUAAUAUAAAUAUUAUUCAUAUAUUUAAUAUCAUUUAUAUUAUUAUUCAAAUUAAUAACAUUAUUAAUUAUUAUUAUAAUUUUAUUAUUACUAUUUGUGAAUAUUAGUUGUGAUUUUAUAAUUAUUCAUAUAUAUAAAUAAUUCCUGUUUUUGUUAUUCACGGACACACGGUUCGUAGGUAAGUUACCUACAAAUUGAAGUGGGUGGCUAAUUCUUGUUUUUGUUACCCACAAACAUACUGUUCAUAGGUAAAUUACCUACAAACUGAAGUUGAUGGAUAAUUUCUAUUUCUGCUACCCACAUACACACUGUUCGUAGGUAAAUUACCUACGGACUAAAGUUGGUGGAUAACAGAAACAAGAAUUAUCCAUCAACUUCAGUUCGUAAGAAUAUUAUUAUUAAUAAUAUUAUUCAUGUUAUUAAUAUUAUAAAUUAUUAAUAUUAUUAAUGUUAUAAAUAAUAUGAGUAAUAUUAUUUAUAUUAAUAUUACUAAUAUUAAUUUUAUUCAUAUUAUUAAUAUUAGUUAUGCUUUUAUAAUUAUUCAUAUAUUUAAAUAAUAUUUUUAAUAUUAUAUAUAUAAUUAUUAUUAUGGGAAUAUCCGUAGAUAUCGAUGUUAAAUUUACUAAUAAAUUCAGGUCCGUAGAUAAUGCUGAAUUUACUUACGAAUUCAUAUCCGUAGAAAAAAUCUCAUUUGAACAUGUAACACCCCAUAAUUUACAUAUAACUAUUACAAUAAAAGUUUUACCCGUUUCUAUACAAACUUGGAGUUUUUCAAAACAUUCCUAAUACAUGAUUAGAAUUUAUAGAAAUACAAAUAUUUACAUAUCCAUAACUCAAAAUAAAAACUCUGAAACCUUUAAGGCUCUCCUGCACCUAUAUGGUCAUUUACUCGUGUACAUAGUACAAUCAUCGCAGUUCAAACACAUCAAGAAAAGCAAGGGUAAGCUAAUGAAAAGAAAUUUCAUAUCUUAUAUAUUUUUUGCAAAAAGAACCAAUCAAACAAAUCAUUUAUAAAUAUUUCUUUAAAUGUUGUCAUAUAAAAUUUCAAUAUCAAUUUCAUCAUUCAUAUAGACCACACAUGAAUCUAUCUUCAAUCACAAUCAUUGGAUUUCAUUUCAAUCCCACUUCAUCUUCCGAAAGACUCAUUAAGUAUGCCCCUACCAGAGACUAACACCUGACCCAAAGAUUACCAGCGAAUCCAAUAGAAAGGAUUAGGGUAAGUUCAAACAUCCAAUACCGAGUGUCUACAGUGGGACUCAAUGUGUAUGAACUCCCUCUCGGCUUCUCACCACCUGAUAUCUUAGUCUACAUGACUUAGAUCACCAGUGAAGCCAGAGGAUCUCCGUUAAACAUAGGCUUUUCAUACUUAAUGUACCAUCAAAUAACAACUCAUACAUUAUCCCAAAUGUAUGACAUCAAUUUCAUACAAUUUUCAUCAUACAAUAUCAUUCAAAACGCAAUCCACAAUAUUCAAAAUCUUAUUUAACAGAAAAACAACACUUAAAUACUAAACCAUCAAAAUUUAAUAUUUUUACUAGUUUAAAUAAUAUAUAAACAAACAACACAAUAUAUAAAAACACAACAUCCUUGCAAGAAAAAUUGAAUAUUGGGACCACGUCCCUUCUGCAUUAAGAUCUUCUAUCCUAGGGUGCUAUUACAAAUUAAAUUUAGCUUCCCUUACCUCAAUUGCUUGCUUUCCUAGCAACUUCUAGAAUUUUAUUCCCCACAGUCUAGAUAAGCUUCAAGAUUUACGGGCCUAAAGCAAGUUAUCCAAACAAAAUAAAAAUUCAGUAUAUAGUAGAAUAAGUUGAGAGGAUUAAACUUCUCAACUGACCCCACCAAGAUUGAUGACUAAAUCUUAAGGAAAAACUGAGAACAAAGGAUAUUUAGAGUAAAAAUGAACUUACUCUGUUUAAAAAUCUGAUCGGGUAGAAAUGUUCCUUAACUCGCCAGCUACAACGUGGUCCGAUCAAAUUGAAAAAUAGAUGAAGAUUAGGAGAGAAAAUUAAGAGAGAAUGAAGAGAAGAGAAUAUGGAAAGAGAGAGAGAAAGAAAAAGAAGUUUCGUGUGUGAGGGGGGCAUGGGGUUUGGCUUUUGCUUCUUUAUCUUCUUUUAUUUUUACGCUGUUACAAAACUCAGUUAAUCAUGAUUAUCUGAGUUUUGUAAAUAAAUAAUAAGUUAAUAUGUAAUUAAGAUUGAACAAAGUUUUUUUAAUGAUGAUUUGCAUCUAGUUUCUCUUUAUACUUCUGUAAACUUUUGUAGGGUUUUCAUUUCAUCUUGCAGAACAAUUUGAUCUCCUACAAUAUCUAAAAGACUUUGAAUUAUUCUUCUCACAUUAAUGUGGUUUUUUUUUAAAGGUUGAUACUUGUUUAGUGAAUAGAGUCAAAAGAUUUUCGUUCAAAAACUUUGUAGAAGAAAUUUAAAUAAAAUCCAAUAGAGUUCAGAUAUGACAACUUACAUAAUAUAGAAGUUAAUUACAAAACAAAAAAAAAAACUAAAUCUCAUAUCCUAAUAUAGUCAUUAUGUAGUACUUUCAUAAGAGCAACACAUAUGAAAAUAUCACUUUCAAAUUUAGGAAAAAUAAUGGAAUUAAAAAAGGAUGAAAUUGAAGACAUAAUUUUAAGAGAUAAAAUGAGUUAAUUUCCAAUAAAUCACAAUUUUAAAAUUUUAUUUAUGAGACAAAUUCUAAAUUUGUUGUGUGAAAAAAAUAAUGUUAUAAACGAGAUUUCAAAGGAAAAACAAGAGCAUCAAGUUACAUAAUCGAAUAACAUUCUUAGAUCUAGAUUUCUUUUUCUUUCGUUUUUCUUAUGGAAGACUAAACAUUAUGGGUUGAUUCUAUUGUGAUUUUUCAUUGAAUUUAAAGGUUUUGUUAAAUGAAAUUUUGUUUUUUAAUUUUUUGUAACAGUUUAUUUUAAUCAUUUGAUAUUUUGAAUUUGAAUGCCUAUCAAAGAAAUUGUCUUUGAAUAUUUAUUGAAAAUUAAUUUAAAAUUUAAUUACUAUUAUUAUUACUAUUUUUAUUUGUAAAGAUAAUUAACAAUUGUUAUUAGUUAUUCCUAACUAUUUCCUCAUGGUUUUCUUGUAUUAAUUUUUUAUUGUAUUACAGUUAAUGAAGAUGAAUAUUCCUUGUCUGAUGUGGUGCAUCAAAUGGAGUGCACGUAAUCACACGAAAUCGCAAUAGAGAAAGGGAGGUGCUGAUGAACCCUAAUUGCAAAUGAAAAAGAGACAAUGACUUAAGCAUGAAAGAGAGAAAAGAAGAGAAAAGAAAAUACAAAAGAAAUUCUUAUUUACUUGUGUAUUAGAGAGUAAAAUACAUUGUGUAUAUAUAAGAAAAAGACUAAGACCUAGCUGAAACAAAAAGAAAGUUGGGCCAAACAAACAAAGCCCAAUAACUUAAAACAGAAAAACUAAAUAUGUUAACAUCCCCCUCAAGCUGGGGAGUAGAUAUUUGUCAGGCCUAGCUUGGAUUUGAGAGUAGAGAACUGUGCGGAAGCAAGAGGCUUGGUGAAUAUGUCAGCAACUUGCAUGGCAAAAGUAAUGGACAACAGUUUGAGGAGACCAAAGUUAAGUUUUUCACGAACUAGGUGACAAUCAAUUUCGAUGUGCUUGGUGCGUUCAUGAAAGACUUGAUUGGACACUAUUUGAAGGGCAGAUUUGUUGUCAUAGUACAGGGUUGCAGACUGGGAGAGAGGAAGAUGUAAAUCCUGAAGGAGGUAAGACAACCAUUGUAGCUCACAUGUGAUGGUGACAAGGGCUCUAUACUCGGCUUCAGAGGAGUUGGGGGAGAUAGUUGGCUGCUUCUUUGAUUUCCAUGAUAUUAGGGAGUCUCCUAAAAAGAUGGAAUAUCAAGUGACAGAUUUGCGUGUGGUAGGACAUGUUGCCAGGUGAAGUGAGCUAGUAUGAGAAAAAUAUAGUCCUUCACCAAGGGUGCCCUUAAGGUAACGCAAAAGACAUGAGACAACUUGUUGAUGAUGAGUUGUGGGUGCAGAUAUGAAUUGGCUUAAAUUGUGGACAGCAAAGGCGAUGUCAGGUCGCGUGUUGGUUAAGUAGAUUAGACGUCCAAGGAGUCUUCUGUAUUGAGAAGUUGCAUCAGCAUCAAGAGGAGAGCCUUGAUCGAGAGAGAGACAGGAGGUAUGAGUCAUAGGAGUGGCCACAGGUGCAGAGUCAAGCAUGCCAGUUUCGUGAAGAAGAUCAAGAGUAUACUUGCGUUGACUUAAAUGAAGACCGGAACUGUUGCAAGCAAUUUCCAGUCCCAAAAAGUAAGUGAGAUUACCUAAAUUUUUUAUCUUGAAGUGAUGGUGAAGAGAUGCAGUAAUUGUAUUGAUUUCCUCCGUGUUAUCGCCAGUUAAGACCAAAUCAUCAACAUAAACAAGAAUAUCAGUGAGUUUAUCGUUAUUAUAUUUAAGAAAAGGAGAGUGAUCAACAACAUAAAUAGAGUAAUUAUUUGAUAAAAGAAAAGUAGAAAGUUUGGCGUACCAUUGGCGACCAGCUUGACAAAGGCCAUACAAAGACCGUUGAAGCUUGCAAACAUGCUGGGGAGAAGGAAGAGAGAGGCCAGGUGGGGGGGUCAUGUAUACCUCUUCAUGGAGAUCACCAUGAAGAAAUGCAUUAUUGACAUCAAGUUGUUUUAAAAUCCAAUUUUUGGAAGUGGUUAACAAGGAAAAGGCGGAGGGUAGUGAUUUUAGCAACAAGUGCAAAAGUGUCUAAGAAAUCAAGUCCUUCAAGUUGGGUGAACACUUUGGCAACAACUCUAGCUUUGUGGCGCUCAACAGUGCCAUCAUAAUGGUAUUUGAUUUUAUAUACCCAUUUACAACCAAUAGUUUUCUUUCCUGAAGGGAGAGAGGUAAGUUGCCAAGUAUUGUUAGCAGCAAGAGUUUGAAGCUCAUCUUGCAUGGCAGAUUGUCAAGAAGCAUGUUUAGAGGCUUCGUUAUAUGUCUGAGGUUCAGGAUGAGAAUUGAUAGAGGAAAUAACAUUUCUAAAAUUGGAAGAUAAGGAAUUGUAAGACAAGUAAUUAUGAAUAAGAUAUCUACUACUUACAGUGUUGGUUGCAGUGUGGAAAUNNNNNNNNNNNNNNNNNNNNNNNNNNNNNNNNNNNNNNNNNNNNNNNNNNNNNNNNNNNNNNNNNNNNNNNNNNNNNNNNNNNNNNNNNNNNNNNNNNNNUGAGGUGCUUCCUGGAGAUGCAGGUGGUGAUAAUUCUGGUUGAGGUGCAAUGUUGGAUGCAGGAGCAGAGGCACUAUUUAUAGGAAGAUCAGAGGAUAAUAAGGUUGGUGGAGGGACAGUAUUGGGUGCAGGAGUAGAGGCACAUGGCUCGACAGGAGGUGCAAUAAUACAAGAAAAAAAAAUCAAAAAACAGAAUUAUAUGCGUUAGAAAUAGGGAGAGAUAAAGUGUUAGGGUCCUUAGGCAAGCCACUGUCCAAUUUAUAUGGAAAGUGGUUUUACAUAAAAGAUUACAUGUCUUGAUAUCUUUAUGCUUAAUUAGAAAACUUUAAAUUUAAGUAUUAAUAUUAACCUUUUUAUUUUGUGGGGUAGGUUGUGGGAGGCCAGGUGGGGGGGUCAUGUAUACCUCUUCAUGGAGAUCACCAUGAAGAAAUGCAUUAUUGACAUCAAGUUGUUUUAAAAUCCAAUUUUUGGAAGUGGUUAACAAGGAAAAGGCGGAGGGUAGUGAUUUUAGCAACAAGUGCAAAAGUGUCUAAGAAAUCAAGUCCUUCAAGUUGGGUGAACACUUUGGCAACAACUCUAGCUUUGUGGCGCUCAACACUGCCAUCAUAAUGGUAUUUGAUUUUAUAUACCCAUUUACAACCAAUAGUUUUCUUUCCUGAAGGGAGAGAGGUAAGUUGCCAAGUAUUGUUAGCAGCAAGAGUUUGAAGCUCAUCUUGCAUGGCAGAUUGUCAAGAAGCAUGUUUAGAGGCUUCGUUAUAUGUCUGAGGUUCAGGAUGAGAAUUGAUAGAGGAAAUAACAUUUCUAAAAUUGGAAGAUAAGGAAUUGUAAGACAAGUAAUUAUGAAUAGGAUAUCUACUACUUACAGUGUUGGUUGCAGUGUGGAAAUCCGCAANNNNNNNNNNNNNNNNNNNNNNNNNNNNNNNNNNNNNNNNNNNNNNNNNNNNNNNNNNNNNNNNNNNNNNNNNNNNNNNNNNNNNNNNNNNNNNNNNNNNNNNNNNNNNNNNNNNNNNNNNNNNNNNNNNNNNNNNNNNNNNNNNNNNNNNNNNNNNNNNNNNNNNNNNNNNNNNNNNNNNNNNNNNNNNNNNNNNNNNNNNNNNNNNNNNNNNNNNNNNNNNNNNNNNNNNNNNNNNNNNNNNNNNNNNNNNNNNNNNNNNNNNNNNNNNNNNNNNNNNNNNNNNNNNNNNNNNGUCCAAUUUAUAUGGAAAAUGGUUUUCAUAAAAGAUUACAUGUCUUGAUAUCUUUAUGCUAUGAAACUUUAAAUUUAAGAUAAUAUAACCUUUUGUAUUUUGCGGGAAGCCAAGAAAAAUACCUUUGAUAGAUCUAUCAUCUAAUUUUUUCCUAUGUGCAGUAAUGGUACUAGCAUAACAGAGACAACCAAACACUUUUAGAAAGGAAAUGUUAUAUGGUUUUCCAAACAACUUUUCAUGAGGAGUGAUGUUAUUAAGUAAUGGAGUAGGAAUAACAUUUAUUAAGAAAACAACAUGAUUUACAACAAAUUCCCAAAAAUAGGAGGAAGAUUUGCUUGAAAAAGCAAAGCCCGGGUUACAUUUAGUAUGUGUUGAUGUUUACGUUCUACAAUGCUAUUUUGUUGUGGUGUUUCAACACAAGAUUUUUUAUGUAUAAUUCUCUUUGAAGCAUAAAAAUUUGACAUAGCAAACUCAACACCAUUGUCAGUACGAAUUGUUUUGAUAUUAGUUUUGAAAUGAUUUUGAACNNNNNNNNNNNNNNNNNNNNNNNNNNNNNNNNNNNNNNNNNNNNNNNNNNNNNNNNNNNNNNNNNNNNNNNNNNNNNNNNNNNNNNNNNNNNNNNNNNNNNNNNNNNNNNNNNNNNNNNNNNNNNNNNNNNNNNNNNNNNNNNNNNNNNNNNNNNNNNNNNNNNNNNNNNNNNNNNNNNNNNNNNNNNNNNNNNNNNNNNNNNNNNNNNNNNNNNNNNNNNNNNNNNNNNNNNNNNNNNNNNNNNNNNNNNNNNNNNNNNNNNNNNNNNNNNNNNNNNNNNNNNNNNNNNNNNNNNNNNNNNNNNNNNNNNNNNNNNNNNNNNNNNNNNNNNNNNNNNNNNNNNNNNNNNNNNNNNNNNNNNNNNNNNNNNNNNNNNNNNNNNNNNNNNNNNNNNNNNNNNNNNNNNNNNNNNNNNNNNNNNNNNNNNNNNNNUAAAAGGAGCAAAACAAUGCGAUUUAGAACGGCUAGAAGAAGGCAAGGUAGUGACAAGGUACAAGUCAGCGAUGACUUUAACUAUACCAAUCCUCUCUUGAGUGAGAUUGUCCUGUAUAAUGUAGUGGGUUGAAGUGAAAGUUAAAGUGCAUUUAAGUUGGUGUGUGAGUUUAGAAACAAAUAUUAAGUUUAAUUGAAAAUGAGGCACAUAUAACACAUCAGACAAAUAAAACUUAUCAAAAAAACGUACUAAGCCAUAAUAUGUGGCAUAAACAGUUUGGCCAUUUGGAAGACUAAUUAAGACAAGUUUAAUUUUAGUAUAAGUAGUAAAACCGUUCAAAUAGUGACAAAUAUGAUCUGUGGCACCAGAAUCAAUAAUUCAAGAUUCUUUUAUAGAAGAUAGAUAGUGAAGAGAGAAACUUACUUGUUGAAGAAUGCUCAGUAUUGGGGAUUUCAUCUGCAGAGAAGGUGCCGACUUGAUUAAUUUGAGUGUGAGGAGCAGGAUCCUCAAGGUUUUGCUGACGCAAAAUGUUGGUAAGGAAUUGACACUGCUGUGAUGUAAGUUGAAUCCCCUUUACAUCCUGUUCUUUAGGAAAAAGCUCAGAAAAAGUGUCAGUAGUAAUCAUAUUAUUGGCUUGGGAUGUCCAAUUGGUGAAUUUGUAGCCAAGAGGGAACCCGUGUUUUUUAUAACAGGUGUCGACAGUGUGGCCAAGACUAUUACAAAAAGUGCAGACUUUUCUAGUAAAAGAAAAUUUUGAGGUUUUAACAUUACUAGAAGGAAAACCCACUUUGCGAAAACAAACAACCUCAGUAUGACCAUAUUUACCACAAAAAUUGCAUGUAAUAGUCUGACUACUAUUAAGACUAGGGUUUUCAUUAAACAUUGGCUAAGAGAUUUUUAAACCCAAUCAAGAUUUUGAAAGAGAACAUAAAAGAUAACCAAGAACAACAAAGGGGGAAAUAAAGAUCAGAGAGAAGCGCAGCAAAGCUCUUCAUUCGAAGAGCUCUGAUACCAUAUUACAGUUAAUGAAGAUGUAUAUUCCUUGUCUGAUGUGGUGCAUCAAAUGGAGCGCACGUAAUCACACGAAAUCGCAAUAGAGAAAGGGAGGUGCUGAUGAAUCCUAAUUGCAAAUGAAAAAGAGACAAUGACUUAAGAAUAAAAGAGAGAAAAAAAGAGAAAAGAAAAUACAAAAGAAAUUCUUAUUUACUUGUGUAUUAGAGAGUAAAAUACAUUGUGUAUAUAUAAGAAAAAGACUAAGACCUAGCUGAAACAGAAAAACAAAGUUGGGCCAAACAAACAAAGUCCAAUAACUUAAAACAGAAAAACUAAAUAUGUUAACAUAUUGAGUUAUGUUUCUAUCUAGGGUGGACAAAAUAUCUAGUUUCUAAAACUGCUUCACUUUUGCAAUACUCUAAUCUAUUAAAAAUCCAUUUAUUUAAAUCUAAUUUUUAGUAUGAUCCAUAUUUUAUUAUAUUUUUCAUAUCAAAUUUAUAUUUUGUUUAUACAGAUUUUAAAAAAUGGAUACUCCAAAUAUUUAGAAGUAGUCUAUCUCGAGUACCUCUACCAAAACCAUCUUUUUAUACUUUCUCUCAUUUGCAGUUUCCUCUUUUUCUCCUCUCUUCAACACCUCUUAUUUACUUUUGAGAAUUUUAUUUGCUCCAAUAACUUAUACAUUUUUUUUGGUCGGCAAUAAUAAAUUAAUAAAUGCGAGCCACUUCAGGGGUGGUUCAACCCUUAUACAAAAGAAACAAGAGAUACCAAACCAAUUACUAGCUAAAAUCUCCAAACUAACAAACACAAGCACUAACCGGACAUAGACUUAAACUACAUCAAGCAACCAUUCUCAUACAUUCCAAAGGUACCAUACACCAACUAGAAAAGGGAAACGAAGCGGAUCGAGAUCUAACAUUAAUCCAAGACCAAACCUUUGCUUGCACCCGUGCACACACUUCAGACGCAUCAGUCACUCCCCUGUUGAAGAUAAUAAAAUUCUUGUGGAUCCAAAUUUCACCCACCACCCCAACCCAGAUCGUGCGCCACACUUCAUUAACCGACUCUGAAGACUGGCACAUCCUAAAUUGUGCAAAGUUUAACACUAGAUCAACAUGGGACACAAACGUCACCCCCAACCACUCAAGGCAAAGGCACCAAACCCGCCAAGCAAAUCUGCAAUCGAAAAACAAAUGGCGAUAAGACUAUUCCUCCUUCCCAAACAAACAACACAAAGGGCUACCAAACAACACACCUCGCCUUUCCAAAUUGGCCCUAAUAGCGAUCUUAUUCUCCAACACCCUUCAGGCAGUGACUAAAGCAGAAGGUACGACUUUACAGCUCCAUAACUUACUGUAAGUCGGAGAGAAAACCACCUUACCAUCCCUCCUAAGAAGAGAAUAAGAAAAACUAACUGAAAACGUCUGAAGACCCCCUGCCUUCCAAACCCACCUAUCCGCUUCUCCUAGGACCAACCUAACCUCAAGUAAAGCCUGAUAUAACUGAUCCACCAAAGGUUUCUCCCAUUCAAACAAAGAUUUACGCCAUGCUAAAUGCCAAACCCACACACCAUUAGACCAAGACCCAAUCUCAGCCACCUUUGCAUCUUUGGUCGAACACAGGGAGAACAGACUCGGAAAUACUCUCUUCAGCGCAUUUUGACCUAGCCAUCAGUCCUCCCAAAAAAGAACAUCCUUUCCAUCACCAACUUUCCAACUAAUCUCGUCUUCAAAACUACUACCCCACCCCUCCGAAACCCACACCUUUUUUAAGUCUUUCCACCAAAUAGAGCACCUACUACUUUUCUCUUCCUCUCUCAAACUUCUCCAACCACCAUAUUUGGAGACAAGAAUCUCCUUCUAAAGACCAUCCUUAUUCGAACCCAACCUCCAUAUCCACUUGCCUAACAAAGCCACAUUAAAAGUCUUUAGAUCAAUGAUACCAAAGCCCCCAAGUUCGCGAGGUUUACAAACCUUUUCCCAGGAGGCCCAAGCGAUCUUCCUUCCUUCAGAUCCCCAACCCCAAAGAAAAUCCCUUUGAAUCCUGACCAACUUGUCUGCCACCCUAGAAGGCAAUUUAAAUAGUGACAUAAAGAAUAACGGGAUGGAAGAAAGAACAGACUUGAUCAAACACACUCUCCCUGCCAACGACAAGCACUUACCUUUCCACCUGAUAAGCCUAGUCUUAACCUUCUCAAUCACCCCAUUCCAAAAGUCACCGUGCUUAUGACUCCCACCAACAGGCAAACCCAAGUAAACAAAAGGAGAACCCAUUACAUCACACUUAAGGAUAUCUGCAAAACUUCGAAGCGAGCCAUGACUCAACCCCGUUCCGCCAAUCCUACUUUUCACAAAAUUAACCCUAAGCCCAGAGGUAAGUUCAAAGCAUUGCAAAAUCGCCUUAAUAUUGAAAAUGCUUUUGGUGUUAGCUUCACAGUAAAACAAAGUAUCGUCAGCGUACUGUAACAUAUUAACCUUCAUUCUAUCCCUGCCAACCUCCAAACUGUCAAUCAAAUUCUUUUCUUCAGCCAUCCUUGAUACGCCAACCAACCCUUCUGCCACAAUAAGAAAGAAAAACGGAGUUAGUGAAUCACCUUGAUGGAGACCCUUCAUUGGAAAAAAAACUCCUUAGUUGGGCAUCCAUUCACAAGGACUGAAACAGACGCGGAUUCUAAACAACCUUUAAUCCAACGAAUCCACAGGUCACAAAAGCCCAACCUCCAAAGCAUAUAAUAAAGAAACUACAUAAUAAAUAGAUCUAAUAUUUUCAAAGUUUAAUUAAAGUAUUAUAGGUAGGUGUAUUUUAAUGUUAAAAAUUUAUAUAUUAUGUUAUCUUUAAUUUUUUUAUAUUAUUAAAUUAUAAUUUUAUUAUAUUUUCUUAAUAUUUAUAUAAUAUUCAACUUUUUUUACAUAUUAUUAUAUUAAUAUUAUGUUAAUUUUUUAGAAAACAUGGAUUAUUUUUUUUAUAAAAAUAUGAAUUUUGAUUUAAAAUCCAAUCUAAAUAUUUGGAUUUGAAUUUUCAUAAAAAAAAUAUGAAUUUAGAUUAUAAAUUUGAUCCAAAUAUUUGGAUUUGAAUUGGAUUUAAUUGAUGAACACCCUUACUCCUAUCUUAUCUUAUGCUUUCUAUAAUAGUAAAUACUGUAAUUAUCAUAAAAAAAGUUGAGUACGAAAAUAUAUUUUUAUACUGAUUUUAAAUAUUGUACGAAAGUUUCUAAUAGUAAAUUGAACUUACUAUAACAAUUUUUUACUGAUAUAAAAAAUUAAACUUUAUAUAUAUAUAUUCUUUAUCGAAUGCGUUACAUAAAUAUAUUUAUCGUUAAGUAUGGUUGAUAACAUACACUUGUUUCUUUCUAUUGUCUUGUAAAUACAUUUCCAUACAUAAUGAAAAUAUGUUUUUUUUUCUAGUUUGGGGAAGGCACCUUUUUUAAAAGACAACAAAAAAUGUUUUGUGUAUGUAUUUUAGAAACAUGAUUCUCUCAAGAAUAAUUUGGAAAAAAUAAUGGAAAUUAUGAGGUAAAAUAGAAAAAAUCAGGUGGUAAUAAUAGAGCCCAACUAAGCUCAGUACCAGCCAAUAAUACAAAUCUUGGAUUGGGCCUUCAAAGUAUAGACUGUUCUGCACCUCUAAAUUCUUGCCACACCUCAUACUAAAUACGAGAAUAUAUUUUCUUUUAGUACAAAAAAAUUAACCUUUAAAACUCCACGCACCUUUUUCACUUCUUUUUAUCUCACCCUGACAAUCCUGGUGACCUACAUUAUAUCUUGCAUUGGUUUGCCAAUGUUUUGAUUGUCCUUUAUUUUUUUUUUAAUUUUACAAAUAUUUUGAAUUAAUUCAAAAAAUAUUUUUAGAUUUGAAAGUGUUUUUCGAAUUUAUAAAAUCUAUAAAAAUUUUAAAAUAAAUAAAUAUUAUAAAUUACAUAAUUCAAAAGUUAAUUUCAAAUUUAAAAAUAAUUUCUAAAUUAUGUAAUAAAAAAUAUAUUUUAAAAAAAAUAUUCAGAUUACAUAAUCCAAAAUUCAGAAAUUUUUUUAGAUUUAAGAUUAGUUUAUGGAUAUGUAAUCUAAACAUAUUUUGGAUUACAUAAUCUAAAAAUUAAUUUAUACUAAAAAAACUUCUGAAUUAAUUCAGAAGCUAAUCUACAAUCUAAAAGAAAAUUCAAAUUAUAUAAUUCAAAAAUUAAUUAUAAUUUAAAAAAAAUUUAAAUUAUAUAAUUCAAAAUAUAAACUACACCACAUCGUAAAUUUCAUAUAUUUUAACUUUACCAUAAAAAAAAGACGUUUUUAAAAUAUACAAACCAAUGGAGGUGCCAAGCAAAACUGCAAAAAUCACAUUGAAUAUAGCCUUGUUAAAAUACUUGAAUUUUUUUUAUAGCCUAUAUUAAAUAUACAAAGAAUCGUUAAACAGCUUUUUACAUUCUUGACUUAUAUUAUUAUCACGUGAAUACGUUUAUCUAUGAUAUACGAUAUACGAUAAUAUACAAAAAUAAAAAAUCUAUAUUUAACAUGUUAUAUUGUACAUAUCAUAACUUUUUAUCAUAUAAAAUAAAUAAAUAAAUAUAUUUUUAGUUUCUAUUGUAACACCCCAUAAUUUACAUAUAAUUAUUACAAUAAAAGUUCUACCAGUUUCUAUACAAACUUGAAGUUUUUCAAAACAUUCCUAAUACAUUAUUAGGAUUUAUAGAAAUACAAAUAUUUACAUAUCCACAAUUCAAAACAAAACUCUGAAACUUCUAAGGCUCUUAUGCACCUGUAUGGUCAUCUGCUCGUGUCCAUAGUACAGUCAUCGUAGUUCAAACACAACAAAAAAAAGCAAGGGUAAGCUACUGAAAAUAGAAUUUUAUAAUAUACACACUUGAAUCCAAAGAGAAAACCAAAUUACAUUAUCAAUUUAUCAAAUUAUUCAAUUUUCUUCAAAUCUCAACAAUAAAACAAUCACAUAGAUCUCACAUGGAUCUACACAUCCAGAAUAUUCAAUAAACAACGUCUUCCGGAAUACCCAUAUUAAGUAAGUCCUACCAGAGACUAACACCUGAUCCAAAGAUUACCAGCGAAUCCAACAGAAAGGAUCAGGGUAAGUUCAAUACAACCCAAGUCGUGCAUCUCAUAUGUCACGGUGUGCAUGAACUCCCCCAUCAGCUUCUCACCACCUGAUAUCUUAGUCUAUGUGACUUAGAUCAUCAGUGAAGCUCGGAGAUCUCUGUUACCACAUAAUCUUCUAUCCUAGGGUGCUACUAAAAAUUAAAUUUAGUUUCUCUUACCUUAAUUGUUUGCUUUCCAAACAACUUCUAGAAUUUUAUUUCCCACCGUCUGGAUAAGCUUCAAGAUUUACGGGCCUAAUGCAAGUUAUCCAAACAGAACAAAAAUUCAGUAUAUAAUAGAAUAAGUUGAGAUGAUUAAACUUCUCAACUUAUCCUACAAAAAUUGAUGACUAAAUCCUAAGGAAAACAGAGAACAAAGGAUAUUUAGAGUAAAAAUGAACUUACUCUGUUUGAAAAUCUGAUCGAGUAGAAAUGUUCCUUAACUCCUCUGGUACAGCGUGGUAUGAUCAGAUUCUAAAAUAGAUAAGGUAUGGAGUGAGAAAUUAAGAGAGAAAGUAGAAGGGAGAGAUGGAGGGAGAAAAAAGAAAGAAGAAGAAUGGUGCGUGCAGCAGGGUGGGUUUCUGUUUCUAAAAAAAAGCAUUGUUACACCUAUUAAUUUUAGUUUUGAUAGACAGGUUAUUAUCUAGUUUUGUUGAUUUUUCUUGAGACAUGUUAGGGGUGAAAGUAUAUGAUUUAGAACUAACAUGAACCAAACUUGGAUUUGGAGUUUGGCAACUAUGGUAGAGAAUUCAGGAGUUGGGGUUGGAACAUGUUCCACAUUAAUUAGUGCCCACUUUGCUUUUUUGGAUUCAAAAAUGGGAGAUGGUGAAGUUUCUACGUCAAAAUUUAUAAAAUCCAAAUAUUAACAUUAAUUAUUCAUAUAUUGCAUAACUAUUAAAGAAUAUUAUUAUAAUAAUCAGAGGAAAUUAUAUUAUACUCGUAUCGUCUAUUUUUUUUUUAUCUAUAUCUAAAAGUCUCAUUCCUUUAUUUUGUUAGGGAACUUUCGAAAAAAGAGUAAAGUUGUCACAUGAGGUGGAUAUGCAUUUUUCAUACAUAAAAUGAAUGCUUAAUAUAUACAUUUGUAUACAAAUAGUUAUCUAUAGACAACUCAUUCAGAUUAUGAUAAAGAUGCGUUUGUUCAGUGCAAACAGAUAAACAUGUUAUUGUAUUUUAAUCUAAUUAUAAGAAUGAAAAGGAUAUUAACACAUGCAUGCCAACUUCACAUGAUAAAUAAGAAAAUUAAAUUAUAUUUAAAACUACAUAUAUUUAUUAAAAAUUCAUUUUAUACUAUUAAUAAAUGUAAUCACAUAGCAAAAUAAAAUAAUGCUAGUUAUAAUAAUAUUCUUUUCCACUAUAAAUUUAUAUUACAUAUAAAAUAAAGAUGAUUCCUCUUUUCUCAUUUUAUUAUUUUAUUUUAUAAAUUUCAAAAUCACAAAAAAAAAUAUUUCAUCAUUCUAUAUAAAUUAUUAAAAAUAAAAUAAUUUUUUAUUUUUUCAAUUAAUAUUACUAAGCAAUUUUUAUAUGCAAACGGUCAACAUUCAUUCUUUCCUUAAUCUACCAGUCUAUCUUUAAUUUCUUAUUUUAUGGAAGAUGUUUGUUUAAAAAAAAAACAGAAAGAAAGAGAACACACCCUCAUCCUUAUUUCUAUCUCUUUUGCUAUGCUUUUUUUUUAAUUUCAGUUAGAUACUAGUGAUAAUAAAUAUUAUUAUUAAAAGAAUUGAUUAUUUUCAACAAAUAAGUGUGUUUAAUGUUAAUAAAUAGGAUUAUUAAAAGAAUUAGUUAUUUUCAUGUAUUUAAAAAUAAAAACAAAAUUAUUAUAAUUAUAAAAUUAACUAAAUCAAAAAGAACAACUUACGCAAAUAUUAAACUAAUAGAAGUGUAUUUUUGAUAGUAAAGCUUUAUCUCCAUUAGUAAAAUUGUGGUGGAUUCAUAAGGAAAAGAAGCUCAAAAAAUGACAUACGUAAGCACUGCUCAAUUGGUGGUACUUUGAAUGGCCACGUUACAUCACAGGAACGAUUUUCGUCAUUAUCCUCCGAAUGUCAUAUUAGAAUUUUUAAAAAGAAUUUAAGAAAUAAAUUUGCCAUAUAAUUUUCUGUAAAUUUUAUAAAAUUCCCUAAAAUAUUUACAGAAAAAAUGUCAUUAAUCAUAAAAAAAAUUCUAAAAUAAAAACAGGAUCUCCAACAUACCCCGAGACUACCAACUCUUGCGUGGGACUAUAUAUUAUGGGUGGUCCAUAGCGGCCCGAUAGUUGGUGGCCUGAUAAGCCCAACAAAUACUCGCUAGGAUAGGCUCAAAAUAGCUCUGGUACCAUAUUACGAAGUGAAUUUUAAGUCUAACUCAACCCUAUAAAACUGGCUCAUAAGGUUGAGGUUUGCACCCACUUAUAUACAAUGAAAGACUCUAAUCUCUAAUCGAUGUGGGAUCUCCAACAGUUUCAUCACUGUAAAAGGAAGAAGAAAAAUAUUCAUGUUGGGUGUUCAUUUCAUCACCUAAAUCAUGAAUAUCCAGGAAAAAACUCAUUGCCUGAACAGUCAUAAGAAUAAGUAAAAUAAUAAUAAAUAACUAAAAAUAAUUAAACAAUAUUUUCAGAUGUGUAAUUUUAUUGCGAAUAAAUUAUGUUAACAUUAUUCUGUUUUAGUAUAUUUAAAAUUAUAAUCAAAUUUUAAUUAAGAUUCUAUAAAAACUUAUUUAUUUUAUUAAUGUUUAAAAUUAUUAUUUAUUUUAAUAAUAAAAAGAUAAAAUUAUAUCAAAUUAGUAAAAAUCUGAGUCAUAAUUUGACAGUGUCAAAACAUGUUUUUAUUUGCGAUGACAAAGCGGGGCGGACCGUGCGGGUUGGUCCGCGGCCCGCUGGUAAAAAACGCGGGGCGGGCUGAACUUUUCAACCCGCAUUAGCCCGUCCCGCAUUAGUCCGCGGCCUGCGCGGGCCAGCAGCGGGGCGGGGCGGGCUGGCCCGCUAACCCGCAAGAAAAAAAAUGGAUGAAAGUUUUCUAAGGUGACAUCCAAUGUUAUUAAAAUGGAAGAAAGUCAAUAAUGUUUAUGUUUAAUGUUUUUGAAUUAAUGUUUAUGUUUAUGUUUAAUGUUUUGAAAUUAGGCAUUUUUAAUGUUUUGGAAGUGGAAGAAUAGUGAUAUUUGAUAUUUAUCUUAAUAUUUAAUGUUUUGAUGUUUGACUAUGUUUGAAAAGGAAGAAAAAUUAAUUUAAGUUUGAUACUAACAAAUAUAUAAGUUUAAUUUGACAAUAUUUUAAAAACAAAAUGUAAAAAUAAAAUUAAAAAUUAAAAAAAAGAACGCGAGUUAACCCUCAAAUCUGCGAACCAGCUCUUAUGCGGGGCGGGUCGAGAAUUCUAACCCAUAAUAAAUUUAUGGAGCGGACCAACCCAACCCACAUUUUUGCGGGCUAAGCACGGACGGACCAAUGGCCCGCUUUGCCACCCGUAGUAUGGUGUUUCUAAUCUUCUAAAAGCAAAUGAUGUUGUUCUAUUAUAAAUUUAUACUAUCUUUUCUAAGGUUCCUUUCUAAAUUUUUGUAGUUCAAACAAAAAAAUAUUUUAAAUUAUAAAUUGAUGAAUGAAUAAAAUUUAAAUUUAUGAAAGUAAAUAUAAAUUUAAUUUAAUUAAUACUUAUUAUAUCAACUUAUUUAAAUAAAAUAACUUGGUACAAUAAAAAACCAAUACAACUUUUAAAAAUUAAAUAAAGUACUAAACAUUUAAUAAAAAUGUAAUUACUUUUAAAAAAAUAUAUAAAAUAUAAUUACAUAAUAAUACAUUUUUAUAAAAAAAUAUAAAUUUUAUUUAUAUUAUAAUACUUUUAUAGUUAUAUUCUUUUGUAUCCUUUUAUAUUCAUCAAUUAGUUUAUCAAAUAUUUAUAAUUCAAUAAAGUAGUUUAUUAUUAGCUAUUAAUUAAUUUCUCUUGUAAAUGGUUUAAUGAAUUUAGUGAAAUCUUAAAUAGAUUGACCACAGAUGGAAAGUAAAUCAUGGUUGUGAAUAAAUUAACAUAAAAUUGGCUAUUUUUUUUCAAUUAUACCAAUUUUUUACAUUUUUUUUAGCAAAGUAUCACAAAGCAUAAUACGUUCAUAAUGUGUUGAUUUGAUGGUGAUUUUGAUGAUGUUUGAAUUUCUUGUUAAUGAUUCCAUUACUCAUUAUCUUAACAUGAUUAAAAAUAUAAAACAUGAAUUAAUAUCUAAGAUAAUAUUAAACACAAUUGCAUUUAGAAACUUGUAUUAUACUUUUUCUUAACAUAAUAAUUGAUUAUGUUAGGAAAUAAUCAAUUGUGUAAUUGUUCAUUUUAGGAAAUAAUCAAUUACGUGAUUGACCAUGUUAAGAAAUAAUUAAUUAUGUAAUUGAUUAUGUUAGGGAUGAAUUAAUUAUCUAAUUGAUUAUGUGUGAGAUUAAUCAAUUAUGUAUUGAUUAUGCUAGGAAAUACUCAAAUAAUUAUAUAAUUGAGUAUGUUUAGAAAUAAUUAAAAGAUAAUUUAUUACACUAUAAUAAAAUCAUUAAAUAGAAACCAAUUUUAAAGACAUAAAAUAAUUAGUUGUUAUAUUAACAAAAUUAGAUAUUAUUGUAGAGACUAAACAAAUUAUUAGUAUCUAAAUUAGUUUAUAUUAUUAAUAAAUAGUUUCUAAAUUGAUAUCUAAUUAGUUACAUAGGUUUUAACUACUAAUUAUUUAGGUUUUAAAGUUGGUAUCUAAAACUUUGGUAUCUAAUUAGAUACCAAUUUAUAAAUUAUUUAUCAAUCAUAAAAACUAAUUUAGAUCCCAAUAAUUAUUUUAGUCUCUAUAAUAGUAUUUAAUUCUGUCAAUAUAACAACUAAUUAUUUUUUGUCUAUAAAAUUAUUUUUUAUUUAAUGAUUUUCUUGUAGUGUUAUAUUGGUCAAAAUGGUUUUACAUUUUUCGCAAAUAACCUAUUAUUACACGAAAUAAUCAAAUUAUCUUAGCCAAUAUAAAAAAAACUCAACCUUCACAAAUAAUCAAUUAGGUUUCAAUAAUAAUUGAUUUAACUGUUACUAAAAGUGUUUUAUGAAUUGAUGAACGCACUUAAUAUCCGAUUAUCCUUAAUAAUAUUUUGAUAAGUUAUUUCAAAUAUUUUUAAAACUAAAUUCUCUCUCUCAUUCAAACCACAAUUUUUUUUAUAUUAUUUAAAUAGAGAACUCUCGUAUGAUUUAGACAUUUUUCAGAAGAAUACUUUUAUAUAAUACAAUUGUAUUAAUUGUUUUGAAGAAAUAUUGCUCCUGGUCCAUCAGGUCGAUCAUACUAUAGAUUGUUCUAUUGUAAUAGUGUUUCUUGUUCUAAUUACAUAUAUGCUAUUGUAAUCGGAUAAAUCAAGCUUUUAGUGAAAAGUGAAGCUCGAGUUGUUUAGAUCAACUGGAUUUAGAUUUAGGAAGAAUCAAAGCAGUAUACCAAUUUUGUGUGUCUAUGUCUCAUAUUUCUUUCAUUAUCUUAAAUCCUUUGUUAUUAUUAAGUUAUUGUUCAAGCAAAAUAGGUGAAUUUUGGAAUGUUUCUAGAUUAUUUUUGCUCAAACGAGAGGAUUUUUAUUCAAGUGAUGAGGUCUAUUUUCGCUCAAGUUAAAAAAAACUUGAAUCUCUAUUUUUCCUUAUCAAAGUCUGGUUUAUUAUUGUUUAUUGUUUUUAAGUAAAAAAAUCAAUUUUAUUUAAAUAUGUGGGUGUUUAUGUGAAUUUUGUGUUAUUUGUGGAUUAUUUUAAAAUUUUAAAUUUUUGGUGUGAUUGAAUGAUGUAUUAAUGUAUGAUAUGCAGUAUGAAAUUAUGUGAGAGCAUAAUCAAAACAUAGUAUUUUUAGGAAAGAAAAUACCGUGUCGAGAUUGUUAGGAGGAUGUAUUGGUUUGUGAGUACUAUGUGAAAGGCAUGAUCUCGAAACUACCGAUAUAUUGUAAUCAUAUAGAUGAAGAGUAUCAGGUGGUGAAAGUCAAAGAAAGUUCAUUUGGCUGAGUUUGAAGUUUGAAAUAACUUAUCAGAGCAUAUUAUAUGGAUUUACCUGUGUCAUAUGAGGAUGAAUGUCUUGAAGGGGAGACUAUAUUGUGAUAAGAACAUGGUAAAUGACAUGUGUAGGUCACUGAGUGUUAAUUUCAAUACACAAAUCUUCCGGAAGUAGAAUCAAGUGUAUGUAUUGAUCUAAGUGGAUUUCUAGCAUGAAUGAUGUAAAAUAUGAGAUAAAAUUGUAAACACUUGAUUUUUUUGAAUGAUGAUUGUAGAUAAUGGAGGAUGUAUGAUGAUUAAUAUGUUUGUGAUGAAAUUUGUUUUAUUUAAAGCUUUAUUGAAAGUUUUAAAAUUACUAGCUUACCCUACUAUUUAUUGUGUGUUUGUUUUAAAAUAUGUGAUGAUAGUGUAUUAAAUUAUGUUUAAGGUGACACAACUCUAUUCUUAUCCGGUAUUUUCUUUUGAGUUUUAGUUUUAUUGUAUACAUAUCUUUUAAACUUUAUAUAUGAAAAAUAUUUGAAAUAUUGUAUAACUGAUAAGUAUAUAUGUAAAUAUUUAAAUAGAUAAUUAUAAUAAAUAAAUAAGGAUAUUAAAAUUGAGUGUUAAAGUUAAUUUCUUUUAUCAUCGAAUAAUUAUAGAAAAUAUUUCCUUAAAUUUUUUAAAAUCCAAUUUGACCUCUUUUUUAUUGUGUUUUCUUUUUUUACAAUUUUUUUUUCUUCCAUAAAUGAACCAUUUAUAGUGUUGUAUUGUAAAUCUAAGAAAAAAAUUGAACCAUUAUGUCCGGAGAAAAACAAGUUAUCUUCUAAAACCUAACUUUUGAACCUAUCGUUACUCCUCUUCCUUUCAUUCUUCAUUUUCCUUUCAGUUUCGGCUUUUCACUCUUUAGAAUCCAAAGAAUCUUUACCCUUAACACCACAACAUAUUGCUAUGCCAAGCAAGGAGGAUUCACCAUUAGAAGAAGCAAAUCUUCCACUGCUGGAAGAUGAAAGAGAUGAUGAACAAGACCAAAAACUGGCACCAAGGUUUUGGAUGGAGUCAAAGAAGCUUUGGCACAUAGUAGGCCCUUCAAUUUUGAGCCGCGUUUUAUCCUAUUCCAUGUUAGUCAUCACCCAAGCCUUCGCUGGCCGUCUCGGUGACCUCGAACUCGCCGCCAUCUCCAUUGCCAAUAAUGUCGUCGUUGGCUUCGACUUUGGCCUCUUGGUAUGUUUCACUAUAAAGUUUCAACUCCUUCAAUUUUCAUCAAAGCCUCACACUAAAUAUUAAUUUAAACAACUGAAUUAAAAUUACAAUUCUGAUUACAAAGCAGUUUCGUAAAUUGAUUAAACCAAAUUAUUAAUAUCAAUGUUUUGUAAUUGGAGUAGUUGGGUAUGGCAAGUGCCUUAGAAACGCUGUGUGGGCAAGCCUUUGGAGCGAAAAAGUACUACAUGUUAGGCAUUUACAUGCAGCGUUCGUGGAUCGUUCUUUUCAUUUGCUGUAUCUUGCUUUUGCCUCUGUACUUGUUUGCCUCGCCGGUGUUGAAGCUGUUGGGGCAGCCCGAUGAGCUGGCGGAGUUAUCCGGUACGGUGUCGAUAUGGAUGCUACCGGUGCACUUCGCGUUUGCGUUUCAGUUCCCUCUGCAGAGGUUCUUGCAGUGCCAGCUGAAGACUGCGCCUAUUGCGUGGGUGUCUCUGGUGGCGCUCUUGGUGCAUGUGUUCGUGAGCUGGUUGUUCGUGUUCAAGCUCGAGUUCGGAGUUAUUGGCGCUGCUGCAACCAUUAACUUCUCGUGGUGGGUCCUCACCUUGGGGCUUUUUGGCUACAGCGUUUGGGGUGGGUGCCCUCUCACUUGGACUGGUUUUUCAGUUGAAGCUUUCUCUGGCCUUUGGGACUUUCUCAAACUCUCUGCUGCUGCUGGAGUCAUGCUCUGGUACUCUCUCUCUCUCUCUCCCUUUCAACUUUUUGUUCUUGUGUUUCUCAGCUUGUGUUUUGCAGCUUGGAGAAUUGGUAUUACAAAAUUCUGAUAGUGAUGACGGGGAACCUUGAGAAUGCAGAGAUUGCUGUGGAUGCUUUAUCCAUAUGGUAUUUUUACUACUUUUGCCAUCCUUCUACUCUUGUACGACUUGUUAUGCCUUUUCUUUUAGUUCUUGAUUCUAUAAACUUUUAAAUCUUCUGUAAAAGGCUGAUAUGUAAAGUCAUCUAGUGUUUGCUAAUGUAAAGAUUUUAAAUAAGAGUUAGUCUAUGUUUACUUACAACAAUAAACAUCACCUUGGUUAAAAGUAUAAUUAAUUUUGUGAAAAGCUAUUUAAAAUAGUUUAUGAUACACGCGUUUAAUUACCAAAAAAAAAUGACUGACUGCACUUUUUAGUUACUUUUUUCUGAUAAUAUCUUUUUGCCAAUGAUGUGCUCUGUUCGGCAGUAUGACCGUCAAUAGCUUGGAGUUGAUGAUUCCUCUGGCAUUCUUUGCUGCAACAGGGUAAUAUAUAAAAUUUUUCUCUUUUUGUUUUUAUUUAUUCUAGUUUUUAGUUGUGCACAAGUAAAAUAUGGUGGGCGCAGAAGAAACUCUAGAUAUAAUUGAUAAAAAUAUAGACUGCGAGGAGAAUGCGGUUAGGUUGAGGAACCAUAGAGAAGCAGCAACAAUGACCCUAGAAAAUUGCGUGGUGAUUGAGGUUGUUAUCGUGAAGUGGUGCAAGUAAAGAUGAACCUUUUCUCCUCAAUCACCAUUCACCACAAAUUAGUAAUGUCAAUGAAAGAGAAGUCAUAGAAAAAGUUGGUACAAUACAAGAAGUGAAGCCAAACUUGUGCAUUAUUAACAGGUGAUCUUUCUUUUUGUCGGGGAGUAUAGGAUUAGUCUUGCCCUCAUGACACCUAUUUCAACAUAGGUUCCUUUCGAGUACAUUCCUCCUUUUUUAAAACUAUUUUCACCCUUUUCUUUCUCACUAUCUGACAUUUUUUAAUAUUAAAUAUUUGUCAUGGUCCCAAUAGCUCAUAACAAUGACAUCCUCUGCUUUUGUGUUCUGACUGCUCCAUAUGGAGGCAGUGACCAUACAGUAUUAUCAUAUAGCAAGAAUUGAAGGAUACAAAAUACUAAGUAAAUUGUUUUAUUUUCAUUUUUAACAACUAUGUUUAUAUGUUUGCUACAUAAUUAAUUAUAUCGUUAUUUUAAAAAAUUAAAAAUCAUAAAAAUAAUGAAUUAUAUUUUUUCUGUAUUUAAUUCUCGUAGUUUACCGUUGUAUCAGAAACAAACAAGCUUUGUCUGCAUAAAUAGACCAUCUUCCAUAGGCUUGAAGAGAGGAUGAAAAAAAACAAGCAGAGGCUAAGAACAAUUGUUUGGCUAAGAAAGUGUCCUGCAAUUUCUAGCCACAUGUACACCAUCUUACCUUUUACAAAGGUCAUCUAAUUUUUUGGGAAUAAUGAAAAAAGAAAAAUUAUUUUAUAUUUAACAAGAUAAUUGCUUAAUAAUUAAAAUUUAUUUUAAUAAUUUACUCUAUUAAUGUUUUAAAAUAUACCUAGAUAGAAUUUAUAAUCUACCAUCUCACCUCUUAAAAUAAUAAUAAAGAAUGCUAAUUUCUAAUCCUUUUUGGAUUUUUAUUUUAUUGUUAUUAGACCUUUUUGAAUUAUUGAUUUAGUGUUACAGUUGUUAAUAAUUCAUUUAGUUAUUUAAUUAUUUUUUAGUAAAGUAUUUAUUUUAUUAAGAAUAUAGUAACUACUUAAAUAAUAAUAAUAAUAAAUAUUUGAUUAUGGAAAAGUUAAAAUAAAUUAAAAUAUGUAAAUAUAUAAUUAUUAAUGAUAUUUAAUUACCUAAUAUUAAUAUUUGAUUCAAUAACUAAUCAAAACCUUACUUUUUUAUUUUAUAAUUUUUUACUAAUUUAUCACUCAGUUUUAUUAAAUCUUUAAUCUAAUCUCUCUAUUUUGUACUAGUUUCCAACCUUUAACUAACUUUUUUAAUUCUUAGUUAAUCUUUCAACUUUCAGCUAAUUUUAAAACAUAUAACCAUAGUACUACCAGAGACCAUUCAGCAAUACCACCCAAGGUAUAAUGAGCUAUUUUGAAUUCAGGAUUAUAAACCAAUUCAAGGGAUGACCCUUUUGGCAUAAUGCAAAGAAAACAUUAAAACUUACAAGGAAGAGGAAGAUAGGGAAAAAAGUGAGACAUGAUGAAUACUGAUAAUAUUAGUAAAAGAAAAGCCCAAGCUAAAAAUAAUUUUUUAAUUUAUAUAGUUAGAAGGAUCUAAAUAUGUAGAAAUGCAAAUAGUAAUGUUGUUAGUUAAUAUGCAAUGUGCAGAGUGAGAGUUGCAAACGAGCUUGGAGCUGGGAAUGGAAAAGGAGCCAAGUUUGCUACUACAGUAUCUGUGGUAACAUCGGUUAUUAUAGGACUCUUCUUCUGGAUGUUGAUUUUGAUAUUGCAUGAUAAAUUCGGCUACAUAUUCUCCAAUAGCAAACCUGUCCUUGACCAAGUCAACGACCUUUCUCUUCUAUUAGCCUUCACAAUUCUGCUCAACAGUGUUCAACCAGUUCUCUCAGGUAUCUAUUGGUAGUUAAACUUUGAUUAGAAAUUGCAAAAUCAUGAAUGAAUGUUAUUCCCUUUUUGGAUGAUUUCAACAGGAGUGGCUGUAGGAUCAGGUUGGCAAUCAUAUGUGGCAUACAUAAACUUGGGUUGCUACUAUAUUAUUGGGGUGCCUCUUGGAUUUUUGAUGGGCUGGGUUUUCAAACUAGGAGUUAUGGUAUGUUUGUUGCCAUCUUUUUGUCUACUACUUUCUACACAUUUAUGCAGUUUAUUUACCCAGAAUAUGUGAAUUUCACAUGCAUUAACAUAUGAUUCUUACACAAUUUGGUAAUGAAAAUGAACAAAGGGAAUCUGGGCGGGGAUGAUUUUUGGUGGCACGGCUACUCAGACAUUAGUAUUGAGCAUCAUUACCAUUCAGUGCGACUGGGAAAAAGAGGUAAUUUGCUUAGUUUUUUUAUUCUUUUCAGUGGUGUUAAUGCUCCUCACUUUCAUUUAUCUAAUCUUAAUUCAGGCUGAGAUCGCAAAAAUGCGUUUAACCAAGUGGGCAGAUCCAAAACAGGAACUCAACUAACGUAUCUGCAUAUUUAUUUCAUCUGUAAUACUAAAACAACCAAUAUAGUCCACAUGUUGUCAGAAUAUAAAUCAAUUUAGUCAAAACAUUACACUGAUUAACUCAUUAUGGAUCGCAGACUAAAAUCAAACAAAGAACAAAAUGUCAAUUUUUAUGAUGUUUGGGAUUGUGUGUGACAUUUGUAUUUAUCAAUCAAGAUCCAGCAGCAUGAGUUGCUACUAAGAAUAUAAGCUUGGAAACUAACCAAUUUGAAAAGUAUAUAUAAUUCAAUUUAUACACCAAUGGAUCUUACCACCUAGUUUUACACGGUGCACAAUUACACUGAAUCGUUGUAAAAUAAGGAAAAAUGCUUGUAUGAAGAUGAGACGAGGUUAAUAACAACAAUUUUUUCAAAAAUAUUCUCUAUAGUAAGAGGAAAUAUUAAUAACAGAAGAAUAUAUUUUAAGUUUUUUAAAUAGUUUAUAAUUUUUUCUUGUUGCAUCUCUUUUUUAAAUAUGUAUGGAGAAAAAUUAUUGAAGAAUUCAAAAUUUGUAUAUAUAUAUUUUUUUUUAAUUUUACGUCAAUUAAAUCUUGAAUUAAUUAGUAGGAAAAUACUAGUUAUCGAAUAAAUAAUGUCCAUCUUAAUCAAGAGGCACUGAACAUAUUUUUCUUAUAAUAUAAUAAAAUGUGAAGAAACGAUAACUUAUUAUUCAUCUUUUUUUUAAGAGAAUUUUAUUAUUUACGAGAAAUUAGAAUAAAUAAUUCGUAUAAAGAAACAGUUUAGGAAUAAAAAACCUAUUAUAUUCUAAUUUCCCUAAAAUAAAUUAUUAAUAUAAUAUAAUUUUUAGUAUUGAAUGCUUAAACAAUCACUACAAGCAAAUCAUUAAAUAAAAAACUAAAUUUAAAGAUAAACAAAUAAUUAGUUGCUAUAAUGACUAAAUUAGAGACAAAAAUAAUUUUUUAUUUUUAAAUUAGUUUCUAUCAAAUAGUUUCUAUUUAACAAUAAUAGAAACUAAUUUAAAAACUAUUUAACAAUAAUAAAAACUAAUUUAAAAAUUACAAAUUUUUUUAAUCUCUAAAAUGAUCUCUAAUUUAGUAAAUAUAGUAACUAAUUAUUUUUUGUCUCUAAAAUUAAUUUUUAUUUAAUGGUUUUCUUGUAUUAAACAAACAUCAUUUAUUAAAAUUAUUAAUCACUUUUUUCUAAACUUUAAUAAGAAAAACUAUCAAUCACUUAUUUUAAAGUAGAAAAAUAGGCGUAUAACAUUAAGACAAACUUUUAUAACGAGAAUUGAUGUGAUCAAUUAUUUUUUUUUAUAAAUUUUUCAUAAUAGUCUUAUCUAAUUUCACACGAAUUAAAAUAUUUAUUAAAUUUAUUAAAAUUUUCUUUCGAUAAAAUAAAAGUACAUUUUCUUAAAUUUUUUAAUUAUAUUUAUUUAAAAUUUUAUACUUAUUUAAAUAUGAGAGUAUUUUUUAAAAAUAAUUUCAUUAAAAAACAAUGAAGUUCAAAUUUUGUUUAUAUUUAAAUCCCAUACAUAUGACUACUUUUUCUUGUUUACAUUUAAGUUUAGAGAGAGCACUCAAAUAAAAAUAUUUCAUUUAACACUGGUUAAUAAUGUUAAUUAAUUUCAUUUAAUGUUUAAAAAAAUAAAUUUCUUGAACUAUUUAAUCAUAUUUAUUUCACACGAAUUGCAUAUUAAAUUAACUUUAAAACGUUUUAAAAUAACAAUAUUAAACAAUGUCAAACUAAUUAAAUUUUGUUUAUAUUUAAAUUAUAACUUGUUUGUUAUAUUUUCUUUAAAAUAAUUACUUGUAUAUAAGUUUAGAAAAUAUAUAUGAUCUUAAAUCGUAUUAAAUUCAUAAAAAUACUAAUUAUCAUUAAUUAUUUAUGUUAAGAAACAACGACCAAGAAAUCUGGGCUAGGUUAAUUUUUUGUGGACCAUUAAUUGAGAUUGGGCCAUUGAGGUAUAUUACACACAAAAUAUAAACUUUCACAUUCUUUCAAAGAAAAAAAAAGUCAUUUUAUAAUUUAUUUUAAUAAUAUAAUGAUAUACAUUAAUAUUUUAAAUAAAAAAAUAAAAAAAAUAACUAAUAUAGUAGUAUGUUAGUUGUUAAGCUGCUUUUUUUUUAUAUCAGUGGGUCCUAAAAUAUCAUUUCUAAUGUUGCAUUUCAUUAAAUGGACCUAUACCUAUAACUCAUGAAGUACUUAUUGUUUUUUUUACUUUCAUAAAUUUUCGUAUUUUCAAAAAUAUUUUUCUAUAAUAUUUUGAAUUACAUAAUCUAAAAGUCUUUUUACAAAUUUAGCUAUCGAAUUAUAUAAUUUAAAAAAAAUUUAGAUGAAUGAUUAGUUUUUGAAUUACAUGAAAGAUUUUUUUUAGCUUCCGGAUUAUGUAAUUCAGAAUUUUUUUUUAAAUGCCUGUUAGAUUACAUAAACUGAAAACUACUCUAUGAAAUGACACAAGAAGAAUAAAAAGAUAUUAAAAAGAUAUAUGAGGUGUCAGAAGAAUAUAUGGAGAGGAAGAAAUAGUUAGUACUUGCUUUCCUUUUCAAAUGCACAUGCCCAGCAAAAGAAGAAUGAAUGGGCUUCUUGGUAGAGUUAGCUUAUCAUCAUGGAAAUUGCCUCAGCACCCAAUCAAUUUUUUUUUUUUUUAAUUUUCAAAAUUGUCAUUCAUUUCAGAAUUGAAAAUCCAGAAUUAAGAAAUAUAUUAUGAGAAAAAAAAAUCUAAAUAGUUUUUUAUAGUUCAGAAAUAAAAUUUUGAAAUAAAGUUGGAAAAUCAAAAUUCCAUUAAAAAAAUUCCAGAAUAAAAAAAAAUAUUUUAAAAAUAAAAUACGCUAAAAAAUGGAUUUCUGAAAUGUAUUUCAGAAAAAAAAUCUAAACAUAUUUUAGAAAAGGAAUUCUGAAAUCUAAAUAUAUUUCAAAAAUCCAAAUUAAAAAAUGUAUUUCGAAAUACUAAAUCCAGAAUCUCACCUAUCUCCUUUUAUUUAAAAACUAAAAAGGAAAUUUUAUCAUUUUACAUUGAAAACAUUGGAUGCAGGAAAUAAUUGCCAAUCGUCAUUCUCUAAUCACCUUCUUUAUUAGUAAACACCAAAUUAUUAGUUAAUAUUAUAAUUUUAAAUGAAAAUACAUAAAGUUGUAUUAAUAGUGGGCUUUGAACUUUGGAGCCCAAAUGUUCUUUUGAUUAACACUGCCCCUCUAUUGGGCUCGUAUGGGUGCAGACUGAUGGGCUCUCUUAUAGCUACUUAUAACUCCUUGUGGAUACAUACACACCAUAAGAUUACAAUCCUUGAGGAAUUUUGACUCGAUUGAGUGAGGAGUUAAUAUGACUAUAGGUUAAAUAAAUCUAAUCUACACUCUGAACUAAUAGAAAAUAUUUUUUAAUGACUCUUCAGUUAUUUAUAACUACAAAAAUUAAUAAAAACUACUAUUUGAAAAAGAAUAUUUGGCUAGAAUUUCUAAUUGCUUAAUUUUUGUAUCAAUGAAGAAAAUAACCUCCAAUUCUGAAACCAACACAAAUCGUGGUCCAAAUACUUUCAUAUCGAAAGAGUAUGGCAUUGGAAAUGCACGGCCCCGUUUGGAGAAAUCCUUAGAAGAAUGUGUUGUUUUGUAAAAUAUGGGAGAAAACGGUGAAAAGAAAAAGCAAGGUAGGUUAAAAAUGUGUAAGAUUUGAAGGUAUAGCAUAUGCAUGUGAGUUGUUAUCCAUAAAGAUGGAGGCAGAAAGAAAAAUCCUUGACAGAGGAAAGUGAUUUGGAAAUUGUAUGAAGAUAAUAUUUGGUAUGAUUAUAAAAAGGGAAAGUAGGCAUUGUUUGAGCAUAUUAAUUAAAAAGGAGAAAGAAUGGUUGAAAAUAGUGUGUAUGAGAAGAAUAGGUAAAGUGACAACAGUGGAUGGAGCUGACAGAGGUCACGUGUGCCAUAAAAGUUGAUUGGUAGAGUGUUUUGUCAUUGUUGUGUGAGCAACAGGUCCAUCUAUGUUUGCAUUGUUCACUGAAGGUUGGGGUAAUGCUCACAACACAUGUUGGGGUGUUCUCUAUGUUAGGCUUGUGGGUGCUCAAUCACACACCCACCAAUCACAUUCUCCACUCUUUUUCAACUCUUCUCUACACCUUCACUUUCUUAUUCCCUUACAAAUUCUUACUAUAACAUCAAAUCUAUUCCAAUUUUUUAAAUUCAAAAAUAUUUUUACCAUUUCACAAAAUUUACUUCUUACUUAUUUCAUACCAACAACAAUAUUGAUGGACGGUCAAUAGUUAUCAUCAUGUCCUGUCACAGUUUCUAAUAUCUCUUAGUGUCACGUCGCAAGUUUUAUCAACAUUAUAUAUAUAUUGACACUAAAGAAAAAAUCAACGUUAUUCCAAAAAUUUAAGAAUUAAACCUAAAAUCAGUCACAGUUGACAGUUUUACAAUUUUAAGAUAAUUUAAAAAAUAUCAGGAAACAUGAUUCACAUAUGGAAUAAGCAUGAGAAGGAAUUGGUGAGAUAAAAAGAAAGAGGAAGAAAGUGAUUAUGAAAAGGAAAUAGUUGGUAGAUAAUUAGUAGUUGCAUUAGAAAUUUGUGAAUAUCACAUGAAUGAAUGUGGUCCAAACUCUCAUCACCACAACUCCAUUAUCAAUAAUGAGAUUGGGAUAAGAUAAGUUCCUCAUAACCUCAAAAUGGGGAUAAAGACUUCAACAAACUACUUUGCCCAAAGCCCAAACACUUGCUAUUGCAAUUUUAACCUACUUUUUAUAAAAAUAACAAAUUAGGAUGAUUUAUAAUUAAAUAAUAUUAUAAAAUGUCUUACACGUUCAUCUAUUGAUAUUUAAAAAAAAAAUCAAACUUACCUCCAAAAUAUGGAACUAUUUUUCAUUGAUUAAUUAACCAUCAUCCAAGUGUUUUUUUUUUCUUCCUAUAUAACGUUUUCUGUUUAUAGGAUUUAUUCCAUUGCAAUUUAAGGCAGACACUGAACUAAAUUAAGGAGGGUAUGAGUCCUGUCGUGUUAAAAAUGGUUUACAUUUGAUUGUUAGCAUUAUUAUUAUUUGAAAAGACAAUUUCAUUAUUAUUAUCAUCAAUAUAAUAAUAAUGAGAAAGCUACUAUUCAUUAAGAUAUUUGUGAGAAAUGGUGCAGAACUUGUUUAGGGUGAAAAUCCUCCUCAAACUUGGAUAACUUUUGCUUAGAACAAAAUGAUUAAAGAUUUUGAAAUAAAAGGCAAAGGCAAAGAAGGUGAGAUAGAUUUUUUUGUUUGUUCAGAUUAUACUUAUCUCUUCUUCUUUCCAUUUUAACCUCUCUUUUCCUUUCAAAAGUUGGUGUGAACAAAUAGAUGGCAAUUAAUUAAAUUAAAAGCAAAAGCAAGAUCAUGACAAUUGACAUAUGUCAUAGUAUAACACUAGCUCUCGGUGGUUCAUACUGUCUUUUUUAACUUCAACAAAUUUUGGUCUGCAUUUAAUUUUGAUUUUCAUACAAUUCACUUAAAUAAUUCAAUGUCAUUACAAUAAUUAAUUUUAAACUAGUGUAUGAGAUAUUUAAAUUGUUUACCUUGUCGUUACUUAUUGUCUUAAGAGUCGGCGGAAAAAAACUAAAUAUAUCAUAGAGACUAAAGAAAUGUAGUAUUUUUAUCAAAACAAAAGUUAUAGAGUAAUGUAUCAUAAGAUCACAAGUUAAAAGAAUAGUUAAGGACAAUUAAGUAACCUCGAAAGAUUGAAUAUUACAUACAUUAUUUAUAAACUAAAAGUAUAUGACAUAUGUCAAUUGAUAAAAGAUAAAAUAAAAAAAGUAUAUGACAAAACUAAAAAUAAAACUACAUCAUAAUAUACAAGUUUAAUCAUAUUUUAAUUCUGAAAUUUGAAAUAAAUCCUUUAUAAUUCCUAAACUUAAAAGGGUUUAGUUUAGUUCCUCAAAGUCUAUAAAAUAUUACUUUAAUUUUUAAACAAUAAAUUUAGGGAUUGAAAAUAAUUUUAAAAAAUAUAUAUUUUCAAUAUCUCAAAUUUGGUAUUUUAUAGUUUAAAUUAUAUUUUUUUAAAUUUUGAGGAGAUAGAUGGUUUUUUUCUAAUUUGGAGACCAAAAUUAGAAUUAUAUUGAACUUUAAGAUUAAAACAAAAUUAAAUUUAAAUUAUGUGAAUCAAUAUCUUACUCUCAAAUGUUUUUAUUUAUUUAAUUUGGUUUUAUCAAAUAAAUUUUUAUUUAAAAAUUAUAAGUAAACUUUACUAAAAUAUUUUAAUAAGAGUUUAUAAGAUUUCCAAUAAUUAUUUUCACAAACCUAAAUAAUUUUUCUAAAAUACCUGAUUAAUUUAUAAAUUAUUUAAAAUUCUUUAGGUUACUAUCUAUAAAUGGAAUAAUAACAUGUGUUUCCCUAGUAGAAAAAUGGAGACUCGCCAUCAGAAUUAAAAAGUUGAUUCCUAAGUAUUCCGUCAAUGGCCUCAUUUCUUUAAAUAUAUUUUUUUUAAUAUUAUAUGCAAAAUUAUUUUUUAUUAUAGUCUAAAUUUUAUAUUUCUUGUACUUAAAUAAGUCCUAAUGUAACAAAUGAAUUUUGGUGAAUCAUAAUAUUAAAAUAUUUUAUGUUGAUUUAUUGAUGUAUAUAUUAUAAUAUUAUAAUAAUUUACGUUAGAAUAGUUUGCUAUGUAAAUGAAAACAUUGAUAAAAACUUAUUUUAUUAAUUUUUUUACUAUAAAUAUCUAGAAUAGCUCAAAUUGAACUAGCAGCACUCAAAAGUAUAUGACAAAAAAUAUAUUUAACAACAAAAUAGUGUAGAUUUAUAAAUAAUUACAGAUGUAGAGUUUGGUUUCAAAUUAAUGCAAAAUAAUCACAAAAGUGGUAAUAUUUUUUAUUAUGAUGAGAAGAAAAGACGUUAUAGAUAGAUUCAUUGAUUGAUGAUAUGCAUAUAAAGAAGGUCCUUUCUAGCAUUGAAAUAUAGUAAAUAACGGUUGGGAGAUAAUCUCAUACACUUUAAAUCAUUUCCUUCUUUGCUGCUGAUUGAACUUUCUGGCAAUCGAAUCAGAAAAAGUGUGAAAUUGAAGCGCACCAAAUGGUAGGUUACAUGAAUUUUGAUGUGAAAGAACAGGUUUAUGUAGUUAUUUAAAAAAGGGGAACAUGAUAAUUAACUAAAUUAGUGAACUAAUGAUAAAAUAAAAAGCAUAAAGGAUGGUGAUAUCACCUUUUGUUUAUGUCACUCAAUUAUUAUUAGCUAAAGCUGAGACAUAUUUUGUCGUCUCACAUUCAUGCUGCCUAAUCCAUGCUUCGCACGCCAAAGGUUCGGGAAACCAGUUUACAUAAUACUCAUCAUUUUACCAAUUACAACUAAUUCAUUCAUUGUCAUAUCUUAAGCUUCCUAAUUUUCACUAAUUCUAUAAACCAGCUAUUACUCUCUCAUUAAUUCGUCACCCCACCAAUCAAUUAAAAUUACUGAUCUUUCUCCUCUUUCUUUGCUGAUAAAAAAAAAACUGAUCUUUCUCCUCCCAAAUAUAAGAAUAAUUUCACAUCAUACUAUUA
rnacentral:lncRNA from 1 species